CGACCCGCACGAAAGGCGUAACGAUUUGGGCACUGUCUCAACGAGAGACUCGGUGAAAUCAUAGUACCUGUGAAGAUGCAGGUUGCCCGCGACAGGACGGAAAGACCCCGUGGAGCUUUACUGUAGCCUGAUAUUGAAAUUUGGCGCAGCUUGUACAGGAUAGGUAGGAGCCUUAGAAGCGUGAGCGCUAGCUUACGUGGAGGCGCUUGUGGGAUACUACCCUGGCUGUG
rnacentral:rRNA from 1 species